rnacentral:tRNA from 1 species
AUUCUAAUAGCUUAUAUUUAGAGCAUUGUAUUGAAGAUACAAAUGAAAAAUUUUUUUUUAGAAUA